CAACAAUAGGCAGGUGUAUGCAUAAAUCACUCUAGGGACUUCCCCUAAUAGAACCAAAUCUUUCUACAGGUGAAUUUUGGGGUACCAUGAAUCUCAGAGGUUGUUGUGCGGGCAUGACAUCAUCCAAGUAGUCAGGGAAUUUCUAGAAGGGUGGGGAAACAGAUGUUACAGAAGGACAAUGCCAUCCUGGGAGGAGGGAAUGGAAGAGGCUUCCAUCACCAGGGGAGCUAGCUCUGGCCUUUGUGGCUCCUACUUUAGUGACAUGAGAAAGUCUCUGGGGCUUUCAUGUGAACCUGUUUCAACUCCUGAGGCCAAAUAUGCUCUAUGUGUCACCCGGAGAGUCCCAGCUAAGAGGCCAAAUGAGUAAAAUGCAAGACAUGAAGCUGGGAGGGGUCGGAAUGCUGAUCUGACCUCAGGCUGCUGGAGAGAAGUUAACUAGCUUUUUAAAAUUUUUAUUUAUUUUUUUAAGAGAUAGUGUCUUGCUAUAUUGCCCAAGCUGAACUUGACUUCCUGGGCUCAAGUGAGCCUCCUGCCUCAGCCUUCUGAGAAGCUGGGACUACAGAAAUGUGCCACUGCACUUGGCUGGAACCAGCUUUUGAGGCAUUCUUUGCCUCUGAAGAACCUAGGAUGAAGUUCCUCUUACCUGAGGAAGCGGAGAAGCUUCCAGAGGCUUUGACUGUGCUGCUUUCUAACCCAUGAGCCUGCUGUUUCCAGAAGGAACACUCUAUUAGUCUGUUCUCACACUGCUAUAAAUAAAUGCCUGGCACUGGAUAAUUUAUAAAGAAGAGGUUUAAUUGGCUCAUGGCUGUACAGAAAGCAUGAUGCUGGCAUCUGCUGGGCUUCAGGGGAGGACUCAGAAAACUUACAUUCAUGGUGGAAGGCGAAGGGGGAGCGAGCACCUCACAAGGCUGGAGUAGGAGGAAAAGAGAAGUGGGG
rnacentral:lncRNA from 1 species